UUUAGGGGUUAAAAAUGUCAUAAAACUUUAGGUAAAAGUAUAAGCGAUAAAGUUGAUUACCUCAGAGAUAGAAAACCUUUUCUUAGACUGACACCGAAAGCACACAUUGAGAAAAUAGGGAUGCGUUAUUAAUACAUUACAAUUGAAACUUCUGAAUGGCGAAAUACACCAAGAACAAACUAAAAAGUAACAGAUGUGUUGAAUUAUUUGAAUGAAUUUAAAAGAUAAAAACUGCCAAAAUAAUAAGAAAAGACAAACAACCUUUCAGAAAACUGGGUGUGGGAUAAAAAUUGCCUAGUAACAGAGGAAACAAUGGAUCACAAAGGCACUAAAUUGUGCUCGAUUGUUUGGUAAUUAAGAUAAUACAGACUAAAAUUAUAAAUUAUUUUUAUACUGAUCAUGUUGGCAAAAAUCACAAAUCUAAUAAAAUCCAAUGUUGGCAAUGAUAUGGUAAAUAUUUUUUAAACCUGAUAAGCCCAUAAAUGGGUAUAAUUGAUUUUUGAGAGCAAUUUGUUAAUAGAUGCUAAAUGUCUCAGACAAAAAAAACCACUUGUUCAUGAUGAAGGAUCACUUUUAUGUAUUACUGUAUCCAAUUUGCUAAUUUUGAUUCAGAGUUUAAUGUUAAUGUUCAUGAGGGAUAUUGUUCUGUGAUUCUCUUUCUUGUGAUAUUUUCAGUUUUGUUUUUAGCCUAAUAUUGCUGUAAUAAAAUGGUUUGAGAAGACUUUCCUCCUUUAUUUUCUGAACAAAUUUUGCGGAGGUAUUGGUAUUAUGUUCAUUUAUGUGGUUGUGUGUGGUAGGGUAGAUAAUUUAAAAAUUCAACAUCUUUAAUUGACAUAGGGUUAUUAGUGUUUUAUGUUUAUAUCUGUAAUCUUUUAAAAUUUCUAAGGGUUUGUGCAUUUCCACAAGUUGUCAUAUUUAUUAGCAUAAAAUUGUUUAUGAUAUCCUCUUUUUUCCUUUUAAGGUCAGUAGGAGAUGUAAUGAUGUUUCCUGUUUCAUUCUUGAUAUUGACAAUUUGUGGUUUCUGUGUUCUUUUCCAGAACUGACUGUCCAGAUACUUAUUUAUGUUCUUGAUCUUUAAAAACAAAAAAAAAAAAGAAAAACGAUUUUGGUUUAAUUACUUUUCUCUAUUUUGUUCUUUGGGUUUAAAUUUUUCCUCUUUUUCCAGUUUCUUAAGGUGUGAACUCUGACUUUGUAUAUUUAUCUUUUUUUAAUAUAAACACCGAUUUAGCAGCAUUUCACAAAUUUUCACAGGUUAGAUGUUCAUCUUCACUCAGAUCAAAGUAUUUUUUCAGUUUCUCUUGUAAUUUAUUCCAUGACCUAUGGUGAUUAUUUAUAAGUAUAUUUUUAAAUUGCAACCAUUCAGUGUUUUUCUGGUGACAUCAGCAUUUUCAUGGCUUAGUGUUGGUACAUUGUAUUCAUUUCCUAGAAUUGCCAUAGAAAAAUACCAUGGACUGGUUCCUUCAACAAUAGAAAUUCAUGUUCUCACAGUUUUGGAUGCUAAUCCAAGAUCGAGAUGCUGGCAGGGUUGGUUUCCUCUGCGGCCUCACUCUGGCUUACAGAUGGCUGCAUUCUAGCAGCCUCUUCACAAGAUAUUUUCUCCGUGUGCAACAUCCCUGGUGCCUCUCCUGUUCAUCCCAAUCUUUUCUUCUUAACCAUUUUUUCCUACUGUAUUAUAGAAAUAACUAAAGAAGAAGGAAGAGUUAUGUGCCUUAUACUAUGAUGAAGAAGGACACCCACACCUUACCUAACAUGUACAUUAACACCUGCAUUGGCAAAAACCUAAAAAAUAAAAUAUUUACUUAGCAAAGAAACAUAUUUGCAUGAGUCUUGCUUUCCUA
rnacentral:lncRNA from 1 species